rnacentral:rRNA from 1 species
UACGGAGGGGGCUAGCGUUGUUCGGAAUUACUGGGCGUAAAGCGCACGUAGGCGGCUUUGUAAGUUAGAGGUGAAAGCCCGGGGCUCAACUCCGGAAUUGCCUUUAAGACUGCAUCGCUAGAAUUGUGGAGAGGUAAGUGGAAUUCCGAGUGUAGAGGUGAAAUUCGUAGAUAUUCGGAAGAACACCAGUGGCGAAGGCGGCUCUCUGGGCCGAUACUGACGCUGAGGAGCGAAAGCGUGGGGAGCGAACAGG